AUUGAACGCUGGCGGCAGGCCUAACACAUGCAAGUCGAGCGAGAGGCGGACGGGUGAGUAAUGUAUGGGGAACUGCCCGAUAGAGGGGGAUAACUACUGGAAACGGUGGCUAAUACCGCAUACUAUAGGAUGCACCCAGAUGGGAUUAGCUAGUAGGUGGGUGAAAGGCUCACCUAGGCGACUAUCUCUAGGUGGGCUGCGAGGAUGAUCAGCCACACUGGGACUGAGACACGGCCCAGACGCCUACGGGAGGCAUCAGUGGGGAAUAUUGCACAAUGGGCGCAAGCCGUAUGCAGCCAUGCCGCGUGUAUGAAGAAGGCCUUAGGGUUGGAAAGUACUUUCAGCGGGGAGGCGUUACCCGCAGAAGAAGCACCGGCUAACUCCGUGCCAGCAGCCGCGGUAAUAC
rnacentral:rRNA from 1 species